UACAGGGGGUGCAAACGUUGCUCGGAAUCAUUGGGCGUAAAGCGCACGUAGGCGGUCUGUUAUGUCGGAUGUGAAAGCCCUUGGCUUAACUGAGGAAGUGCAUCCGAAACUGGCAGGCUAGAGUACUAAAGAGGGUCGCGGAAUUCCCGGUGUAGAGGUGAAAUUCGUAGAUAUCUGGAGGAACACCGGUGGCGAAGGCGGCAUUCUGGACCGGCAUUGACGCUGAUGCGCGAAAGCCAGGGGAGCAAACGGG
rnacentral:rRNA from 1 species